rnacentral:rRNA from 1 species
UACGGAGGGAGCUAGCGUUGUUCGGAAUUACUGGGCGUAAAGCGCACGUAGGCGGCGAUUCAAGUCAGAGGUGAAAGCCCGGGGCUCAACUCCGGAACUGCCUUUGAAACUAGAUUGCUAGAAUCUUGGAGAGGCGAGUGGAAUUCCGAGUGUAGAGGUGAAAUUCGUAGAUAUUCGGAAGAACACCAGUGGCGAAGGCGACUCGCUGGACAAGUAUUGACGCUGAGGUGCGAAAGCGUGGGGAGCAAACAGG